CAUGCAUGUCUCAGUUCACACCCUCGCACGGUGAAACCGCGAAUGGCUCAUUAAAUCAGUCGAGGUUCCUUAGAUGAUCCAUUUCUACUUGGAUAACUGUGGCAAUUCUAGAGCUAAUACAUGCGGACCAGCUCCGACCCGGUGUCGCAGCCGGGAAAGAGCGCUUUUAUUAGUUCAAAACCAGUCGGCGGGUCCGCCCUUGCGGGGUGGCCGGCCGUCCCCUUUUGGUGACUCUGGAUAACUUUGUGCCGAUCGCAUGGCCUCGAGCCGGCGACGCAUCUUUCAAAUGUCUGCCCUAUCAAAUGUCGAUGGUACGCGAUAGGCCUACCAUGUUGACUACGGGUGACGGGGAAUCGGGGUUCGAUUCCGGAGAGGGAGCAUGAGAAAG
rnacentral:rRNA from 1 species